UACGGAGGGGGCUAGCGUUAUUCGGAAUGACUGGGCGUAAAGCGCGCGUAGGCGGAAAUGAAAGUCAGGGGUGAAAUCCCGGAGCUUAACUCCGGAACUGCCUUUGAAACUAUGUUUCUAGAGUUUGGUAGAGGACAGUGGAAUUUCUAGUGUAGCGGUGAAAUGCGUAGAUAUUAGAAGGAACACCAGUGGCGAAGGCGACUGUCUGGACCAAUACUGACGCUAAGGCGCGAAAGCGUGGGUAGCAAACAGG
rnacentral:rRNA from 1 species